UACGUAGGGUGCGAGCGUUGUCCGGAAUUACUGGGCGUAAAGAGCUCGUAGGCGGUUUGUCGCGUCGUCCGUGAAAACUUGGGGCUCAACCCCAAGCUUGCGGGCGAUACGGGCAGACUUGAGUACUGCAGGGGAGACUGGAAUUCCUGGUGUAGCGGUGAAAUGCGCAGAUAUCAGGAGGAACACCGGUGGCGAAGGCGGCUCACUGGCUCGUAACUGACGCUCAUGCACGACAGCGUGGGGAUCAAACAGG
rnacentral:rRNA from 1 species